GCCCUAAUGAAGAGUCCCACAAUAGGACGAAACGGCCGUCUAGUGC
rnacentral:hammerhead_ribozyme from 1 species